AAAAAUUAAAGGUAUAUAAUCUCAUAGAAGCUUCUACUUUAAAUAUGUAUAGUUUGUGAAAUUGGCUAAGAAAAAGUAUCUGUCUAAAGCCAUUUGUAUCAAGCCAAAUUGUCUAGUUCAGAACAAUAAGGAGCUCAAUAUUUAUAUUAUUUGAGCCAACAAAGGACAAUCAAUAGCCGUCUUUUCCCAUAAACCCAAUGGUGGAAGCGAAUUAAAAGACAUGCUCAAAAUUUAAGCAUCACAUCUUAUUCUAAAUGAGUUAAAUGCGUGUUCUUCCACAGUACGACGAUUGGAGACUACGCACUUUUCAAUUGUGGAACCGGGACUACCUUCCCUUUCCAAAAAAUCAAUCCUAAAGACAAGCAUUAAAUAAUACUAGUGUUUGUGUAAUUAAACAUACAUUUUGAUAACAGAAUCUUCGUCUCCCUCCAACUCGCCAAUAACCGUACCAGAAGGGGUAUUUUUGCACCAUCCAAAGACGUUAAGUUCAUUAGCCUUAAGAAAAGUGUAUUUCCUAAAAGAAACACCCUGGACUUUACCAAAGACUUCGAACUCACACUUUAACAUUCUUAAAACGUCUAAGCUAUGUACAAUUGAACACAAUCUAUUCUUAUUAUUAUUUUUUUUUUUUUUUUUUUUACUAUUAAAGAUUAUUUAUUCACAUUGUGCCUUUAAUAAAUCUGUUUGGCGCCAACAGCCAGCAUAUUUUCGAAUAAUCAAAGAGCGAUAUCUUUUGAAAAAAAAUUUAUUUUCACACCAAAAUGGUAAAUUGCCUCGUUUAAAAAU
rnacentral:antisense_RNA from 1 species